rnacentral:rRNA from 1 species
UACAGAGGCCCCAAGCGUUACUGAGAAUCACUGGGUUUAAAGCGCGUGUAGGCGGCUUUGCAAGUCGGGUGUGAAAGCCCUCAGCUCAACUGAGGAAGUGCGCCCGAAACUGCAGAGCUUGAGUGCCGGAGAGGGUGGCGGAAUUCCCCAAGUAGAGGUGAAAUUCGUAGAUAUGGGGAGGAACACCGGUGGCGAAGGCGGCCACCUGGACGGUAACUGACGCUGAGACGCGAAAGCGUGGGGAGCAAACAGG